rnacentral:rRNA from 1 species
CGGAGGAAAAGAAACCAACAGGGAUUGCCUCAGUAACGGCGAGUGAAGCGGCAAAAGCUCAAAUUUUAAAGCUGGCACCUCCGGUGUCCGCGUUGUAAUUUUGUGAGGCAUCUCCGGGUGGGGCGCCGGCCUAAGUUCCUUGGAACAGGACGUCAUAGAGGGUGAGAAUCCCGUGCUUGGCUGGCUGUCCCCGUCCAUGUGAGGUGUCUUCGACGAGUCGAGUUGUUUGGGAAUGCAGCUCAAAAUGGGUGGUAAAUUUCAUCUAAAGCUAAAUAUUGGUGGGAGACCGAUAGCGCACAAGUAGAGUGAUCGAAAGAUGAAAAGCACUUUGAAAAUAGAGUUAAAAAGUACGUGAAAUUGUUGAAAGGGAAGCGCUUGAGACCAGACUUCGGUGGGGAGUGAUCAGCCGUCCUUCUGGGCGGUGCACUUGCCCCCCUCCGGGCCAGCAUCGGUUGGGACGGCGGGAUAAAGGUCCCGGGAAUGUGGCUCCUCUCGGGGAGUGUUAUAGCCCGGGUGAAUGCCGCCAGCCCCGACCGAGGACCGCGCCUUCGGGCUAGGAUGCUUGGCAUAAUGGUCUUCAGCGACCCG